UACUAUUUGAAUAAUAAUUCAUAAAUAAAUUCUAAAUUUAUUGCACUAAUCUGCCAAAAUAGC
rnacentral:tRNA from 1 species